GCAAUAUACCCGAAUAUCUUUCCAUUUGUCGCCCCAAGCCCAGGCGCCAGGCGGUACAGGCACAGCAUGUUCUUCCCUCUCCCUCCCGAACUACCUUCCAUCUCACCAUGAACUAAAAACACUCUCUGUACUCCAUUUUUUCACUCCUUGAAGAUUUCCAGGGCUGGCGAAGUCAUGUGUAUCGGAUAUGAAACUAUUUGUUUAAAGCUUUGCUAGAGACUGAAAUUUGUUGUAAUAAUAAUGGCUUCGAGAGCAAUCUUGCGGAGAAAGCGAUCCCUCUUUGAUUUCCUGAGGGAACCGAAUUGCUUGAUUCGGGGGGGGUUUUCGAGUUUCCAGUACGGGCGAGGACCGCCUCAAUCAAAUGACCUGCAAGAAUCGAGAUGCGUUAUCAAUCAUCCGUUCGGGAGUACUGAUAGUAGAAAUGAAAGAGGUUUGUCAUUGGUUUCCAGGGAUGGGGUGUCGAAGGUUUUAGCCGCAGCAGGGUUUCUUAGGCAUAACUCUUUUGGAUAUUCAGGUUUAGGUUGUGGAAUUGGAAAUGGAGAUUUUGAUUCUUCUUUGGGCAUUAGGUGUUAUUUGCAGUCUGUAAGUUAUGCUUCAACAGCAACUGCUGGUCAACCUGAAUAUGGCCGUGGGAGUGAUAGAAAUGAACAACUGGAUGCCAAACAGGCGAAGGAAGCUUCACCGGAGGAGUGUGAUGAAGCUGUUGAAGAUUUGACCGAGGUAAAAGCCAAGGCUAAGGCUAAGCAGGCUCAUGAAUCCCAAAAGAGCACUAAAACAGUAAUGCAGAAAGUAUGGGCGAAGCUUUUGGGGAUUGGCCCGGCUUUGAGAGCCGUUGCUGCUAUGAGCAGGGAAGACUGGGCUAAGAAGAUUCGUUAUUGGAAGGAUGAAUUGAAGUCUACCAUGCAACACUAUUGGUUGGGUACUAAACUACUCUGGGCUGAUGUCAGGAUUAGCUCGAGGUUAUUGGUGAAACUUGCCAGUGGGAAGGGCCUUUCUAGAAGGGAAAGGCAACAACUAACACGUACUACUGCUGACAUAUUUAGGCUGGUUCCUUUUGCUGUUUUCAUCAUAGUUCCAUUCAUGGAGUUUUUGCUGCCAGUAUUCCUAAAACUAUUUCCCAACAUGUUGCCAUCAACCUUCCAGGACAAGAUGAAGGAACAGGAGGCAUUGAAAAGAAAGCUAAAUGCAAGAAUUGAAUACGCUAAGUUUCUUCAAGACACCGUGAAAGAAAUGGCAAAAGAAGUCCAGAACUCUCGAAGUGGAGAAGCAAAGCAGACAGCAGGAGAUCUGGAUGAGUUUAUGAACAAGGUUAGGACUGGUUCUCGUGUUUCCAAUGAAGAAAUUUUAGGCUUUGCCAAGUUAUUCAAUGAUGAGCUUACUUUGGAUAACAUUAGCAGGCCUCGUUUAGUAAGCAUGUGCAAGUAUAUGGGUAUCAGCCCAUAUGGAACAGAUGCAUAUCUACGUUAUAUGCUUCGGAGAAGACUGCAAGAGAUCAAGAAUGAUGAUAAGAUGAUUCAAGCUGAGGGUGUGGAGUCCCUUUCUGAAGCUGAACUUCGUCAAGCAUGUAGAGACCGGGGCUUACUUGGAUUGCUUUCUGUGGAUGAAAUGCGGCAACAGUUGCGUGACUGGCUGGAUUUAUCUCUCAAUCACUCUGUUCCAUCCUCUUUGUUGAUAUUGUCUAGAGCUUUCUCUGUUUCUGGAAAAGUUAGGCCUGAGGAAGCUGUUCAGGCUACACUGUCAUCUCUUCCGGACGAGGUUGUGGAUACUGUUGGAGUUACAGCCUUGCCAUCUGAAGAUUUAGUUUCAGAAAGGAGAAGAAAGUUGGAGUUCCUAGAAAUGCAAGAAGAACUGAUCAAGGAGGAGGAGGAGGAGGAGGAAGAAGAGCAGGCUAGGAUGAAGGAAUCUGUUAGUAGUCAAAAGGACGUGGCUUUGGAAGAGAUGACUAUUCCAACAGCUGGAGAAGCACAAGAACAGGCGAAAGCAAAAACAUUGGAGAAACAUGAGCAGCUUUGUGAGCUUAGUCGUGCAUUGGCUGUUUUAGCUUCUGCAUCUUCUGUAAGUAGGGAGCGAGAAGAGUUCCUGCGACUUGUCAAAAAGGAGAUAGACUUGUAUAACAAUAUGGUGGACAAAGAAGGUACAGAAGGUGAGGAAGAAACUAAGAAGGCAUACAAAGCUGCCAGAGAGGAGAGCGAUCAUGCUGCUGGAACAGAUAUCUCUGGCAAAGUUUCUUCAGCCCUGAUCGAUAGAGUAGAUGCCAUGCUCCAAAAGCUGGAAAAAGAAAUUGACGAUGUUGAUGCUAAAAUUGGAGAUAGAUGGCGCCUGCUUGAUAGGGAUUAUGAUGGUAAAGUGACUCCUGAGGAGGUUGCCUCUGCUGCUAUGUACCUCAAGGACCACUUGGGAAAGGAGGGCAUCCAAGAACUCAUAAGCAAUCUUUCCAAAGAUACAGAAGGAAAGAUCCUUGUGGAAGAUAUUGUCAGACUAGGCAGUGAAAUGGAAGAUGCUGAUGAAGUGGAGAAAGGAAAAUCAUAGAAAACAUGUACCCAAAAUUUUCUUAUCUUUUCUUUUUUUUCCUGCCGAACUUCCAUCUUUUCGGUUGAGUUGCUGCCCUGUUGGGCCAUGUAUUCCGUUGACUAGACACUGAGGAUGACACCUGCAUCGGUAUCCAUGAAAUUUGAAAGCAAUGGGAAAAAAUGGGGAAGCUAGAAUUAAUCUCCCUUGCACGGCUGACUGCUAAAGAGUAAAUCCCGGAGAUUAAACACCCCCUUGCAAGGGUAAGGAUAGUACCAAAGCCACCAAACAGCCUUCCUAAAUACCACCGGCCGUUGAUCCGACUAGUUAUGGUCUUGCUUACCUGCCUGUCCAGUCAAGUUACUUGGGAGCUACUUCCGGGUAAUGCUGAUUGCCGAGAACUCGGGUCGUCCUGUUCCACGGUUUCAUGUGCCAAAACCCAUCAAAUUCUGUGUGCCUUUCGUUAUGUAGGGGAUCGAACAUUCCCUUCUUCUGUAAUGCUCUGCUUGGAACUGGAAAUAGGCCAUGGGUACGUACACUCGUUGCUUCACCCCAGGAUCUCAGACAUCGUAAGCGUCAAGCGUGACAAAUGUCACGUACCCCGUGCACAAGUGUAUCCACUCCCCGUUUGAAAUAUAAAUCAAAACUAAUUUUGGCUAUUUUUAUCACGAAAACUAAGUGUAAAUUGAAAGUAUUGUAAUAAAAUUACAUAUAUAUUGAAAAGAAAAAAAUAUUUUGUGAUUCAUAAUUUUAAUUUUA